AGCGAACGCUAGCGGCAGGCUUAACACAUGCAAGUCGAGCGCUUUCCUUCGGGAAAGAGCGGCGAACGGGUGAGUAACACGUAGGUUACCUACCCUCUGGUGGGGAAUAACCCAGGGAAACUUGGGCUAAUACCGCAUAUGGCCUUCGGGUCAAAGACUUCGGUCGCCAGAGGAUGGGCCUGCGUCCCAUUACCUAGUUGGUAGGGUAACGGCCUACCAAGGGAACGAUGGGUAGCUGGUCUGAGAGGAUGAUCAGCCACACUGGGACUGAGACACGGCCCAGACUCCUACGGGAGGCAGCAGUGGGGAAUAUUGCGCAAUGGGCGAAAGCCUGACGCAGCCAUGCCGCGUGUGUGAUGAAGGCCCUCGGGUCGUAAAGCACUGUCGGGAGGAAAGAAGUUCUGACGGUACCUCCCAAGAAAGCACCGGCUAACUCCG
rnacentral:rRNA from 1 species